AUGUAGCACAAUCUGUCUUUAAGUAGGGGUAAAGUAUUCUUUAAAAAUAAGAUUCCUACAUAGUUUUCCCUUCAAGUCAAGCAUCUUGU
rnacentral:pre_miRNA from 1 species